rnacentral:rRNA from 1 species
GGUGAUAUGAACCGUUAUAACCGGCGAUACCCGAAUGGGGAAACCCAGUGUGAUUCGUCACACUAUCAUUAACUGAAUCCAUAGGUUAAUGAGGCGAACCGGGGGAACUGAAACAUCUAAGUACCCCGAGGAAAAGAAAUCAACCGAGAUUCCCCCAGUAGCGGCGAGCGAACGGGGAGGAGCCCAGAGCCUGAAUCAGCAUGUGUGUUAGUGGAAGCGUCUGGAAAGGCGCGCGAUACAGGGUGACAGCCCCGUACACAAAAGCGCAUGUGCUGUGAGCUCGAUGAGUAGGGCGGGACACGUGGUAUCCUGUCUGAAUAUGGGGGGACCAUCCUCCAAGGCUAAAUACUCCUGACUGACCGAUAGUGAACCAGUACCGUGAGGGAAAGGCGAAAAGAACCCCGGCGAGGGGAGUGAAAAAGAACCUGAAACCGU